UUUUGUGCUGUCUCAUCUCACCUCCUUCAUUUCUUUCCAAGACCGAAACACUAAAAAGUUCAUUUCUUUCUGAUACUGAAACACAACAAAGUUGAAAAUUAGUUGAAGGAAAAAAGCUCAAUUCAAAGACCAAACACAAAUAAUCUCUCACUCUCUCGUCAAUGGCAUAAAAGUUUUAGAGAAAGUUUGUUGCUGAAUUUAGCUAUACUCAUGAGAUCUGUUACUGAUCUGGAUCCAAACACAAAUCAAGGAAUGGAUGAUGUAGAUAAAAUUAUGGAGUUUUUUUUCUCCAAACCAAAGUGGUUUAAUAUUGUGCACUAGUAUAAUAGUUACACAGAUUACAUUACAGUCCCCAUGUUUAUAUGAUUGUCAAAGUUGUUAUUAGUGCAGUUGUGCAGAAUUACCAAAUGAAUCUCCUCUUGGUUACAUGGUGUUGCUCAAUAUGGAUCAUUGUUUAUUAACUCGAUGGCAAAGUUUAGGAUUACUCCAAACAGGCACAAUAAAAUAUGUUAUUUAAAAUACUCCCUCCGUUCCAAAUUAUAUGUUACUUUAGAAAAAUAUUUGUCCCAAAUUGUAUGUCACUUUACGAUACCAAUGAAACAUUAAUGUUAUUUUUCAUAUUAUAUUCU
rnacentral:lncRNA from 1 species